rnacentral:rRNA from 1 species
GCAAAAGCUCAAAUUUGAAAUCUGGCGCCUUCGGUGUCCGAGUUGUAAUUUGAAGAAGGUUACUUGGUGGUUGGCUCUUGUCUAUGUUCCUUGGAACAGGACGUCACAGAGGGUGAGAAUCCCGUGCGAUGAGAUGCCCAACUUCCUUUAAGUUGCCUUCGACGAGUCGAGUUGUUUGGGAAUGCAGCUCUAAGUGGGUGGUAAAUUCCAUCUAAAGCUAAAUAUUGGCGAGAGACCGAUAGCGAACAAGUACAGUGAUGGAAAGAUGAAAAGAACUUUGAAAAGAGAGUGAAAAAGUACGUGAAAUUGUUGAAAGGGAAGGGCUUGAGAUCAGACUUGGUAUUUUACUUCGGUAGUUUACUGGGCCAACAUCGGUUUGGACGGUAGGAU